rnacentral:rRNA from 1 species
AUUGAACGCUGGCGGAAUGCUUUACACAUGCAAGUCGAGCGGCAGCACGGGGGCAACCCUGGUGGCGAGCGGCGAACGGGUGAGUAAUACAUCGGUACAUGCCCAGUCGUGGGGGAUAACACUUCGAAAGAAGUGCUAAUACCGCAUACGUCCUGAGGGGGAAAGCGGGGGAUCGCAAGACCUCGCGCGAUUGGAGUGGCCGAUGUCAGAUUAGCUAGUUGGUGGGGUAAAGGCCUACCAAGGCAACGAUCUGUAGCUGGUCUGAGAGGAUGAUCAGCCACACUGGGACUGAGACACGGCCCAGACUCCUACGGGAGGCAGCAGUGGGGAAUUUUGGACGAUGGGGGCAACCCUGAUCCAGCCAUUCCGCGUGAGUGAAGAAGGCCUUCGGGUUGUAAAGCUCUUUCGGCAGGAACGAAACGGUGAGCUCUAACAUAGCUUGCUAAUGACGGUACCUGAAGAAGAAGCACCGGCUAACUACGUG